rnacentral:rRNA from 1 species
AGGAUGAACGCUGGCGGCGUGCUUAACACAUGCAAGUCGAACGAUGAACCCACUUGUGGGGGAUUAGUGGCGAACGGGUGAGUAACACGUGAGUAACCUGCCCUUAACUCUGGGAUAAGCCUUGGAAACGGGGUCUAAUACCGGAUAUUUACUUCCUGUCGCAUGGUGGGUUGUGGAAAGAUUUAUUGGUUUUGGAUGGACUCGCGGCCUAUCAGCUUGUUGGUGAGGUAAUGGCUUACCAAGGCGACGACGGGUA